rnacentral:rRNA from 1 species
AGUUCGGAUUGGAGUCUGCAACCCGACUCCAUGAAGCUGGAUUCGCUAGUAAUCGCGCAUCAGCCACGGCGCGGUGAAUACGUUCCCGGGCCUUGUACACACCGCCCGUCAAGCCAUGGAAGCCGGGGUGCCUGAAGUGCGCUGCCGCAAGGAGCGCCCUAGGGUAAAACCGGUGACUGGGGCUAAGUCGUAACAAGGUAAC